rnacentral:lncRNA from 1 species
GAGUCAAAACAGAGAGUCAACCAUCCAGUGGCUAUCAUGGGAGACAAGCAUUGUCAGCGGGAACACAGAUCCUGGCAAUAGCUUGGACCAUGCGCAGACAUCCACAUGAUCUCCAGUGUCAGCACAUGACAAGGACCUCCACCGGGACCCUGGUGACAUCACGGACCACGGACAUCAACACAGCCCUUUGCCAAAGCACCAGCCACGGACACCAACACGGCUUCAGGUGGCAGCACAGCCCGCAGACAACAACAUGGCUUCAGGCAAGGUACAGACCAUGGACAUCUGUAUGAUCUUAGGAGGUAACAUGGACUCUAGACAUCAACCUGGCUCCCAGGACAUCAGGACCACAGACCCAAACAUGGCCCUUGGUAACAGCAUGGAUCACGGACAUCCACAUGGCACUAGGGCUUCAUCAUGGCCUGGGGCAUCAGUACAGAUCUUUGAUGCCAGCAUGGCCUCUGGGGGAAGUUCAGACCAUGGAGGUCUUUCAAAGAGUUCCACUUUAGGAAAUGAAGUAUUUUUCAUCGUAGACUUCCUGUUCAGAGCCAGGGCGCUGAGUCUGUGCAAGCUCCAGGCUGCUGCAUAGCACACUGCCAACUCUACUGGGCAAUUCCUCCAUUGUUCUCAGCCUUCUCUCACACCUGUCGCAGCUGUCUCGCCUCUAGUUCCUCCAUCUUUCCUGCCUCUCCAUCACAUACUCGUUCAUCGUGGUGGUAUGGGAAGCUGCAGUGUGUCACACAAUAUAUUUUUUUCCCAACAGCUUUAUAUGUGUAUUAGUCAGGGUUCUCUAGAGUCACAGAACUUAUGGACAGUCUCUAGAUAGUAAAGGAAUUUAUUGAUGACUUACAGUCGGCAGCCCAAUUCCCAACAAUGGUUCAGUCGCAGCUGUGAAUGGAAGUCCAAGGAUCUAGCAGUUACUCAGUCUCAUGCAGCAAGCAGGCGAAGGAGCAAGAGCAAGAGCUAGACUCCCUUCUUCCAAUGUCCUUAUAUUGUCUCCAGCAGAAGGUGUAGCCCAGAUUAAAGGUGUGUUCCUUAAACUCGGAGAUUCAAUCUUCUGGAAUUCAUAGCCACUGUGGCUCAAGAUCUUCAAACCAAGAUCCAGAUAAGGAUCUCCAAGCCUCCAGAUAAGGGUCACUGGUGAGCCUUCCAAUUCCGGAUUGUAGUUCAUUCCAAAUAUUGUCAAGUUGACAACCAGGAAUAGCCACUACAAUAUGCAAAUAUUCUUUGUAAUGAGUCAUUGGUUUGGUUCAAGGUUUCUGGUUUCUGAUACACCAUCAGUGUGGAUCCAUGCUCUUGGAUGUCCUGCUAUUGCCCAGAGCCCAGUGGUCCUGCAGCUCCGGAUCUGCAGGGUUAGCUUCUUCACUAGCUCCAGCAGCUUGUGGUAGGAGUGAAGGUUGGAAUGGAUCGACCCAAAGCACUGGAUCUUGGCCUAGAUGGUAGCUGAGUUGGUCAGCCCAAGCCUCAGGCAGAUGGCAGGGCCUGCCUGUGGCACAUGCUUUUAAUCCUAGCAUUCAUGAGGCAGAGGCAGAUGGAUGGUCACUGUGAGUUCUAGGCCAACAUGAUCUACAUAGUGAGUUCUCAAACAAACAAACAAACAAACAAACAAACAGAAUAAGAGAAUAAUUAUGACAGCAUACCAUGAUGAAAGCUGCUUUCUUUUAUUGAAUGGAACAAUGUGUCUUUUAUUCUUGAGGCAGGGUCCCUAUGUAUCACUGGCUGGCCUAGAACUCACUAUGUAGACAAGGUUGGUCUCAAAUGUACAGAGAUCUGUCUGCCUCUGACUUCCUAUUGCUGGGAUUCAUGGCAUGUGUCACCAUGCCUAGCCUUCUAGUUGCUUUCAGAGUCUUUUUUUUUUAAAAGAUUAGUUAUUUAUUAUAUGUAAGUACACUGUAGCUGCCUUCAGACACUCCAUAAGAGGGAGUCAGAUCUCAUUACAGAUGGUUGUGAGCCACCAUAUGGUUGCUGGGAUUUGAACUCAGGACCUUCGUAAGAGCAGUCAGUGCUCUUAACUGCUGAGCCAUCUCUCCAGCCCUGCUUUCAGAGUCUUAUUGUAGCCUUCUUUCUAUGGUGUGGGGCGAUUUACUGCCUACACAAUGAGAUGAAAUAUGACAUAGGGUUAGGCUACCAUUGAUCUGAUGACAUGUCAGAAGGAGAGUCGUUUGUCUUUAUCACAACUCUUAUAUUUUGUGGCUAUUAGUAAAUAAAAUAAAGGUUAAAUGAACACAAGCAAUAUGAUAGUAGAGCAGUCCCCCUGCUAACUGACAGCUACCAACCGACCUACUUGGAAGGUAAACAACAGCAUGGGUACAUAGACUGGGAUUUCACUUCCUGGGAGGAACGGGGCAAGAAGCUCUGAGAUUUCGUCACAGUGCUGAGAAUGGCAUUUGUAGUUACUUUUCUUACUGCAGUGACAAAAAUAUCUGACAUAACAAGAUGGCAGAUGGGGGUUAGUUCAUUAACUCAGACUUUUUAGCCCAUCAUGGCCAACUGUUACUUCUGGGUCCAAAGCUAGACAGAUCACCACAGUGACCAGAGAUUGUGGAAAUGAAGGAGGCUCACCUUAUGAUAGAAAGCAGAAAAUAACAAAUACAGAAGGGUCAAAUUAAGAUGUAACCCCAAGGACACAGCCCUAAAGACAUAGUUCUUCCAAUGAGGCUCCAUUUCCUACUUUCACAACUUUCCAAUAAUGCUAUCAGAUUAUGAAUCUGCCAGGUAAUCAAUUCAUUGAUUAGAUCAGAACUCUCAAAUUUCAACCAUUUCCCCAAACCUGACAGUCAGCAACAGCCACCUACCCUCUACUCCCACCUCCCACCCCCAUGCACGAACCCAGGGGACACUUCAUAUUCAAAUGAGAAUAGUACAGUAUCAGAGUUAUGAAUUUUCUGAGCUUGGAGGUUCACACCUGUAAUCCUGGCACCCAGGAACUGAGGCAGGGAGAUUACCCUAAAUUGGAGGCUAGCCUGGGCUACUGAGUGACACUUUUCCUCAAAAACAAAUGGACAAACAACCCAGAAAACUAACUUAAUAUUUUUGGGCCAUGUUUGGCCACAGAGAGUGGGCAACAGGGCAGGGGAACUGAUUAAAAGGGACUUGCUGUACCCACUUAAGCCACAGAGAGGUGUAGAUAAAGGGGCCCUCUGUACAUACUUAAGGACAUUUGUGGCCACAGGACACUGUUGGCAAAUGCAAUGUCCCUUCCUGGGGCAAUGUGUCCAGUGGUUGGACCUUCUAAGAAUUCUGUAGCUUGCCUCCUUGCUUCAGUUUGGGAUAACUAUACAUGUCUAUUGCAGUACCUCAGCACUCCCACCCCCACCCCUGUAGGUCACAUUGAUUGCACCUGCAACAUAAUUCAACUUUUCCCUCUCUCUAGCUUUUUCUCUCCCCCCCCGAAAGUCUUUCCCAAUAAACCAGUUGUAUCCAAGUGGGGACAGGCAGAGGUGGGGGCUACAUGUUUAUCUUCAGAGCCCCUGACAGUCAAACCUGGUGAGCAGGGAGGACUAGAUGGCCCUUGCAAAGUGUCUGUGCCCAAAAGCUGCCUCUCCCACACCACUGGACUUUGGUGUAGAUACUGGUUUUCAAUAUUUGCCCACACUCUUUGGAUAUGUCUACGUUCUAGCUCUCAGCCCACUCUGCUCCCCUGCACAAACAAAAUAACUUUGUCACCACUGACAAGCCCGUAGACCUCCUUGUUGCUUUUUUUCUUUGUAAAGAUUUAUAGAGUAUACUGUUAUUCUCCUUAGAGAGACCAGAAUGGGGCAUCGGAUCCCAUUGCAGAUGGUUGUGAGCCACCAUGUGCUUGCUGGGUAUUGAACUGAAGACCUCUGGAAGAGCAGUUGGCGCUCUUAACCCCUAAGACACCUCUCCAGCCCUUCUCAUUGCUUUUAAGGAAAGCCUAAAUCUUGGAAGUGCCCUCCAGGCUCUCCCUUGUCCCUCCCGACCUGUUGACCUAUUGUCAUUUUGCUCACCUUUGAAAACUUUCUUCCCUCUGGCCACGUUGGCCUUCAGGUUUGUCAUUCCGUCCCCCAUUCUGCCUGCUUCAGAGCCUUACAUCUGUCAUUCCUGCAGCCUGGGAUCCUCACCCUCUUCCCAUAUUCAGGCUCGGUCAUUUGACCAGUCUUAGUUUAAUGUGACUUCUUUAGGUAGCGAGUCCAUUCCUCUGAAUAAGUAGAAUAAGAUAGAAGAGGCCAGUGAUUAGGUAUUGAUUUAUUGAUUUAUUGAUUGAUUGAGUUACAGCACUCCUUGUACUGAGUGCCAAGCUCAGCUUCGCUAGCUGGAGCAGAAGGGCCUGGAGAAAUUGCUGAAGCAAUGGGCCAUUGCCUGUGACGAUCCACUCAGUGCCGUACAUGCUUCUGUAAGACCCUGCCUGCUCACCCCACCUUGUGGUUUUAGGGCAUAAAAGGAGAAUACAAACUGGACCCGGGAUUGAAGCCUUCUAGGAUCUUCAGCCCACCAGUGACAACACCUCUCUCCCACAUGGGUGUCGGAAUGAUUAUCCCAGAAAGAUGCCCGCAACAACUCCUAUCAGGUUACAUCUUCACGGCACCUGAGACAGGCUCACUGAGGGAAGGCUUGGGCCACUAAGUCUAAUACAUAAUUUGUGUUGAAUUGCUGGCGCCAUCAUAAUAGAAGGAGAGAACUGUCAGAAAUUCGUUCUUUUAUCUACUCUAUUUUUCUAAAUAAAUAAGUAAACAAACAAAUAUUGCUUCUUCAUGAAAUAAAAUCUUGUAGCAUUCUGCCCUUCUUUAAAGCAUCUCAAUUAGAAGGGUUUGCUACAUUUGUAGUCAGAGGAUGGCUUAUGCAUAGAAGUCCCAGGAAAGCCCAGGUAAUAUAUUCAGAUAUUUCUCAAUUUCAAAAUAAAAUAUGUGUGAAUG